AAAAUUAUUACCAAUAUCAGACAAUAUGUAUGUAAUUAACAUAAUCAGUUGGUUGACUAGUCAUCAUCCCAUCCCAGCCAGACAAGUUGAUAGACAAAAGUCAUAAAAAUAUAAAACGAAAGAAAAAAAAAAACAAAACCUGUUUACAAAAAGCCGGUUGAAAUAUUUAGCACAAAAAGGGAAAAGAAACAGAACAGCAAAACUAAAAAAAAAUCCCCAAUAAAAACAAUUCUUAUAGGUUCCAACAGUAUUCUGUAGUCCCAACAAAUAUUCAACGAACGAUCCAUACAUUUAAACAUUAAUAAUAAGUUGGUUUAGGUUUACGCUUGUGUGAAUCAUACAUUUUUUAUUUUCUGUUCAAAUAAGUUAUAAGCUGUCGUGUGCACCCUGUAGGUAAAUGUGUGAAUGGUUGUAGAAAUAAGAAGAAGGGAAAAAUAAAGUUGGCAACGCGUCGUUUGACAUUUUUGAGAAAAAAAAAUGAAAGUAAACAAAAACAAACACUAGGAAAAUUAUUUGAAACAGUAGAUUGAAUAGCUGAAAGGAAUUGAAACAGUAGGAAACCAUUAUGGGAUCCGAGGUUUCUCGGACCCUAAUGUGCAAAAUGUCGGCUUUUUUCUUUGAGAUUCAACGAAGCAGCAAGUGGCAAGUGCGCACAAUAAAAGUCGUCUAAGCAUUUUUAAAGUCUUUAUUUAAAUCAAACAAUAUAAUAUAAUAUAAAUUAUAUAAAUUGAACACCAAAAAAAAAAAAAAAAAGGUUAUACAAAUAUUUCAACGCCACCUCUGCCGACUUCCAACGUGGGAUCUUUCAUUUGGGAACAUCGGCUCCGCACUGCCAAUCCUGGGGUGCGCAGGUAUACCAAAGGUUUCGACCAUAAAGAUUUUUGACCCUGAACGACAAGACGGACUGACAGUACCUUUUAAAUAAUUAAUAAAAAAAAAGGGAAAAUAGUAAAUAAAAAAAUUUAUAUAUAUAAAAUAACAAGCUUACCAUUGGUUAGAAUCGGACCAGACCGCUGGCCAAAAAUUACCGCCAAGCGUGCGCGACGUUAGGGUUGAGCUCAGGCCUAGUUUUUUAGAAGAAUUUGCGGCAGAUUUGCACCCAGUAGCUCAGUAUUUUUAUACGUAUAUAUAUGUAAAAAAAAAAAAA